rnacentral:rRNA from 1 species
UGAAGCGGCAAGAGCUCAGAUUUGAAAUCUCACCUAGUGUGCGAGUUGUAAAUUGCAGGUUGGAGUCUCGGGUUAGACGUGUGUGCAAGUCCCUUGGAACAGGGUGCCACUGAGGGUGAGAGCCCCGUAGCGUGCAUGUCGACACCUGUGAGGCCCUUCUGACGAGUCGAGUUGUUUGGGAAUGCAGCUCUAAGUGGGUGGUAAAUUCCAUCUAAGGCUAAAUAUUGGCGAGAGACCGAUAGCGAACAAGUACUGUGAAGGAAAGAUGAAAAGCACUUUGAAAAGAGAGUGAAACAGCACGUGAAAUUGUUGAAAGGGAAGGGUAUUGGGCUCGACAUGGGAUUUACGCAUCGUUGCCUCUCGUGGGCGGCGCUCUGGGUUUUUCCUGGGCCAGCAUCGGUUUUCGUUGCAGGAUAAGGACAAUUGGAAUGUGGCUCCUCGGAGUGUUAUAGCCUUUUGUAGAUGCUGCGUAUGGGGACCGAGGGCUGCGGCGGACUCGUUUCGUCUCGGAUGCUGGCACAACGGCGCAAUACCGCCCGUCUUGA